rnacentral:RNase_P_RNA from 1 species
GACGCAGGCUCGGGACAGUGCCACAGAAAAUAAACCGCCGGUGCCUCACGGCAACGGUAAGGGUGAAAAGGUGCGGUAAGAGCGCACCGCUCCUUCGGUGACGAAGGAGGCAUGGCAAACCCCACCGCGUGCAAGCGCAAGCAGUCCUCGGGCGGCUCGUCCGCCACCUGCUGUCCGUAGGUUGAGGACGGGUAGCGUGCUUCGAGACCAUCGGCAACGGUGGUCCAGAGAGAAAUGAUUGUCACCCGCAAGGGAACAGAAUUCGGCUUACGAUCACACGCGUUGG